CCUACGGGAGGCAGCAGUGGGGAAUAUUGGUCAAUGGGCGCAAGCCUGAACCAGCCAAGUCGCGUGAGGGAAGACGGCCCUACGGGUUGUAAACCGCUUUUGCACGGGGAUAACACCAUCCACUUGUGGAGGUCUGCAGGUACCGUGCGAAUAAGGGCCGGCUAAUUCCGUGCCAGCAGCCGCGGUAAUCCGGAAGGCCCGAGAGUUAUCCGGAUUCAUUGGGCUUAAAGGGAGCGUAGGCGGGCGUUCAAGUCAGCUGUAAAAUCGCGCGGCUCAACCGCGCCCCGCAGUUGAAACUGGACGCCUUGAGUUCACAACAGGCAGGCGGAAUUCGUGGUGUAGCGGUGAAAUGCAUAGAUAUCACGAGGAACCCCGAUUGCGAAGGCAGCCUGCCGGGGUGCGACUGACGCUGAGGCUCGAAGGUGCGGGUAUCAAACAGGAUUAGAGACCCCUGUAGUC
rnacentral:rRNA from 1 species